AGUUCGGAUCCUCUCCAGCCAAAGUUUCCAACCGGUCCUCCGGUCAAUGGCUUGGAUCUUGCCACGUCACCCCACUCAGAAAGAACGGUCCAGAUCAACGAAAAAAAAAAAAAACUAAUUUCAAAUUUCCCACAAAACAGAGCUUCGUAAUUUCCCUCCCAUUUAGCGUCUUUUCCUCUUUUCCCUCCCAUUGAGUUCUUUCACCAGCAACAUCUUUCUUGUGAAAUAGACAACGCCGAAGGCAACAAACAUCGACGGCGGCGGACCUUGACGGCGGUGAACAUCAACGCUCCGGCUCCGGUGACCGCAAACCAGAGCCCCAGCGAGAAAGCAAUUCAGCUGCAAGUUUUGCUGGCAAACAAUUUGCCGUAUUGUGGUGAACCUUCAUUUAUGACACUGCUUCAAGGUGGGUAUGACAUUGUUUUUCAAGAUUCUCAAGGCUCAAAUACAGAUUCUCGAGCAACAAACACUUUAAUGUGUAGUCAGGGUAUAGAUGGGCACAAAGAGAUGGAAGGUGGAAGGCAAUUCAAAUUUUAAGCCUGUUGCAAUCCACUUGGUGCUGAAUAUUUCCAGUUCAUGUUGUAAUCUAUUUGUUUAACAUGAGUUGUUAUCUAAUUUUACCUUAGCUGUAUCUGAAUUUGGGUUCUAUCUGAAUCAGACUUGUAAUUGUAAUGUUAAAUCUGAAUUUGGGUUCUAUCUGAAUCAGAUUUGUACUUGUAAUGUUAUAUCUGAAUUUGGGUUCUUUUGAAGCAUUUGCAAAUUUUAAUUUUU